ensembl:misc_RNA Metazoa_SRP Metazoan signal recognition particle RNA
GCUUUCAAAAAUAGAUAACCUAUAGUCCCAGCUACUCGGGAGGCUGAGGUGGGAGGAUCUCUUGAGCCCAGGAGUUCUGGGCUGGAGUGCGUUAUGCCGAUCGGGUGUCUGCACUAAGUUCGGCAUCAAUAUGGUGACCUCCCGGGAGUGGGGGACCACCAGGUUGCCUAAGGAGGGGUGAACUGGCCCAGGUCGGAAAUAGAGCAGGUCAAAACUCCCGUGCUGAUCAGUAGUGGGAUCGCACCUGUGAAUAGCCAUUGCACUCCAGCCUGGAGUGCAACAUAGCAAGACCCCGUCUCUC